rnacentral:pre_miRNA from 1 species
AUAGUACUCCCUCCGUCCAACAAAAGAUGUCUCAAAUUUAUUAAAAUUUAGAUGUAUCUAGACAUAACUUAGUGUAUAGAUACGUUCAAAUUUAGUCAAAGUUGAGACAUAGACGGAGGAAUACUAG